UUGACGGGUUUGUGAAUCUCCACUGAAAUGUACAUAGGGCUACAUGGAUCUGUAUGUGACCUUGUAUAAUUUCAUCAAGCUUAUUUAUCGUAGCUAGAAGAGAAAUAAGCAGGAAUCAAGAAUACAAAGUUUAUGAAAUUGUAGCCUUGGGAGAUAAGAGGUAAAAGUUGGCCUAUAUAUAAGGCGUACAUUAGUAAUACAGAUUUCAUCAAAAACUCGAUUGACCCCUGAUCCUCCGCAUGACCCAACAAAGCUCCUCUCUGAAAGUGUUAAUUGAUCUCUGAUCAUGCCUCAAGUUCCAACCACUGAGGAUCGAAAUCCCUCGUUCGGCGACGAAUCAGUUGAUUACUGCAAAGGAUCAUGCGGCGGUCCAGAUUAACAUUGGGCACGUAGAUGAGAACAUGAUUUACACUGUCCAGUUCUCCACUUUUGCGCUCUCUAGUUUCAUUAGAGCUCAGGUGCUAUAACUGGAGCUAUAACUACCCCUCUUGAUGUAUUAAAGGCAAGACUGAUGGUUCAGGGUUCAGGAGCGAAAUACAAGGGACUUAUUAGUUGUGCUCAAACUAUUGUCAGAGAAGAAGGCCCUGCUGCUCUUUUGAAGGCUGCUAGACUAGCUGGUUGGCUUCCAGAAGUCAGAAAUUUAUAUUCAAAAGCAAGCCAUGGCAGGUAAACUUGCAAAAUGGAUGGAUGAAGAGCUUGAACAAACUGUAGAGACAGUUGGGUAUGGUUCUGUCAAUUUGUGGCAGGAUGAAGGUUGUGAGGUGAUGGAUGGUGAAGGACGGAAUAUUUUGGAUAGAAUCAGUUGGAAUGUGACAAAGCAUUGGGAGAGACUCGAUGAAGGAAGAACUCGUCUUGAUAAUUAAUGGGCUCGCCAUGAUCUUUAUCAUUCAAAUUCUAAUUAUUCAUGGAUUAUUGCUUCACUGUCAUAUGUCUUUGAAUAAGUUUUAAUUUGUUAGAAUGCAUUUCAGCUAAGAGUUGUAGGAUGUGGAGAAGUUGUGAAUCUUGUAAAUUGUCUAAACUCAAAGUUUUAUAGUUGAUUAUCACUUCAUUGAAUUUAUUGACAAAGCAUGUA